rnacentral:lncRNA from 1 species
CGCGGGUGCAAGCCUGUAACCCCAAAUCGGAUAAAAUCUACAGCUGAUAACAAGCAAAAGAGAAGCCAGGCAACAACCAUAUUAAAGAAGAAAACAAACCAACUCUGAGG